AUUGAACGCUGGCGGCAGGCCUAACACAUGCAAGUCGAGCGGGGUUUUCGGACCUAGCGGCGGACGGGUGUGUAAUGCGUAGGAAGCUACCCGAUAGAGGGGGAUACCAGUUGGAAACGACUGUUAAUACCGCAUAAUGUCUACGGACCAAAGUGUGGGACCUUCGGGCCACAUGCUAUCGGAUGCGCCUACGUGGGAUUAGCUAGUUGGUGGGGUAAUGGCUCACCAAGGCGACGAUCCCUAGCUGGUUUGAGAGGAUGAUCAGCCACACUGGAACUGGGACACGGUCCAGACUCCUACGGGAGGCAGCAGUGGGGAAUAUUGGACAAUGGGCGCAAGCCUGAUCCAGCCAUGCCGCGUGUGUGAAGAAGGCCUUCGGGUUGUAAAGCACUUUCAGUAGGGAGGAAGGGUGUUGUGUUAAUAGCACAGCAUUUUGACGUUACCUACAGAAGAAGCACCGGCUAACUCUGUGCCAGCAGCCGCGGUAAAAC
rnacentral:rRNA from 1 species